UCACUUAAUGGAAAUUGCUCAAAUUUAGGCUUGAUAGUUUGCGUACGAACUUCAUGUUGAGUUUGGAAGCUUAUCACUGUGAACUUUUAAUGACUACGGAUGUUUUGGGGUUGUAUCACAUGAUGAACAUUCCAAAAUCUGCAAAGAUCUAUAUUAUCCUGCUUAGACUUCACAUUAAGCCAGGAUAAUAGAGCAUCUUUGAUAGAGCAACAAACUUUAGCACUCAAGGAGCUUGGGUCCACAAAUUUAUGUUGAAAAACUCUGGCAUUUCGUCCACACCAAAUGUUGUAAACCGUAGUAGAAAGGGAGAGCUUGAGCACAUUCUUCUGAAAGCUAUUACCUUUUGCUUGGUUUAUGAACCAAGCUAUUUCAUCAACCGAUUUCAUUGGGAGUCUAGCCACAUGAUUCCUUUGCAAAAUAUUCACCCCAUACAACAUUAAAGUAGGGACAAUCAAAGAAUAGAUGGUUGUGAUCUUCCAAACUAUUAUUAGAGCACAAACUGAAAGUAGCAUUAGAGAUGAUAUCCCAUACUAGCAUCCUAUCUUUCGGAUGUUGCAUAGCCAUCCAAAGAAUGACGGCCCAUCUGGGCACAUGCUUCUUGAACUACACCACAGAACACCACUCUUGUCUAGGAUAUAUUACCUUAAUAGAGGACCGGGCAGACUUCAUGCUAAAAACACCAUGCAUAGAAGGGACCCAUAAGUCAUCUGUAGCCAUAUCAGGAAGGAAACCCUCAGGAGUUAGGUUUUUAAUCUCUUGCAUAACUCUAUUUCUCCCCCUAGGCCAUUGCCAGAUACCAUUGUGAAUGAAAGAUGAGACCUUAGCAUUGAAAGCUCAACCUAUGUUAGAGCAAAUUCUAUCCCCAUAAUUUUUAUACAAGGGACCAAUGGAUGUCAGAUAUCCAGCCAUGCAAAUGUAGAUUCACCAUUCCCUAUCUUAUACAAUAUUAGAGGCUGGCAUAACUCUCUUAGUUUAAUUAAGUAUAAAACACUUGGUAUUAUUUCAUGUCUUCCAAUUUAGUUUUUAAUUAAGUAUUUGAUGUUUUUUGUUUUAAACUUUUGGAGAGAUUUAGAAUGAUGAAUUCUAUAUACACUACCAAGUUUCGGGAGCUGAAAAAACUCAUUGUAGGACAUUACAAGAGUUGUUGGAGUGAUGCAGAAAGUCCAAAACAUUCCUUAACAAUGAGACAAUUUGGCGGUACUAUCGUUAAAUUGUUGAGGGUGUGAGCCAUAUACACCAGAAGAGCUUUGUACACCGAGACCUAUCUCGGUCAAACAUAUUCUUGGAUGAGACCAAGAAUAUCUGGUGACUUCAGAUUAGCUACUUUUUUGCAAGAUAGGAGUUGUAGUGUAACUAUCACUGGAGAUGCCGGCAAUCCACUUUAUAUUGCGCCGGAGUUAUAGGAGGAGGAUGCUCAGGUUAGUGACAAGGCUGACAUAUUCAGCUUAGGUCUCUUAUUGUGCAACCUUAUCUACCAAUUUGGCACCGAUGGAGAAAGGAUCAGUGUGUUUGCAAAACUGAGACAGAGUGACUUCCCAAAAGAACCAGCGAUAUUGGGUGAGCUUCUUGCUUUGACACCAUCAGCCCGUCUGUCAGCUUUUGAGAUAUUGCAGAAAGACCUACCUUAGAGAGAGCUUGGUUUAGAUUAUGCACGCCACCUUGAGAACAAGGUGAAAACCGCAGACAAAGAUGUGUGGGCUUAACAAUGAGAUAGAGGAGUUGAAGAAGAUGAUUCAUCAGCAAGAAGGAGCUUGAUAUCCUGCAGGUCCAUUUCAUUGUAACACAAUGUUUGCUUAUCACUUGAAUAUUCCUACCAAUGUAGUAUUGCUCAUCGCUUGGUUCUGUUUUGUAAGUUAGUGCAAGGCUCUUGAUGCUAGUUUUUAGGCUAAUGAUGAGCUGACCUACUUUUGAUAGUGUUGUUUUUGCUUCUACAUAUGCUGCAAAUGUUUCUAUUUUCUUAUAUCAAAACUUACCUUUGGAACAAUAGCAAGUUACCGUUGUUUUUCUUUUUUGAGCAACAACUUUUAUCUUUGCUUUAUGGCAUUGCAAUUGAAAAAUGAAAAUAUUAUUGAAAUGCUAUUGUGAUUUGAAUAGCCUAAAUGCCUAUGCUAUUUGGUGACUUAUAUAUCGUGUCCGCAUGUCUGUGUCGUGUUGGGUCCGUAUCGCAUGUCUGCUAUUAAUUGUGCAUCCUUGAUACAAGAACAAGCAACAUCUUUACAUUACUUUCUGAUUUCCUUCUUACACUUAAUUGUGCAUCCUUAAUACAAGAGCAAGCAACAUCUUUACAUUAUUUUCAAUCCCGAAUUGGAAAUGAUUCUGCUCAGAUAUUCGAUUAAAGUUACUCAAAUUGGGUUAGAAAGUAAUUCAAUUAUCUACAGUUUUGUAUGGAAUAUGGAUUGUCCUAUUCUGUCGUUUACGAGGU